rnacentral:rRNA from 1 species
UACUACAUGCAAGUCGAGCGGACAGAAGGGAGCUUGCUCCCGGAUGUUAGCGGCGGACGGGUGAGUAACACGUGGGUAACCUGCCUGUAAGACUGGGAUAACUCCGGGAAACCGGAGCUAAUACCGGAUAGUUCCUUGAACCGCAUGGUUCAAGGAUGAAAGACGGUUUCGGCUGUCACUUACAGAUGGACCCGCGGCGCAUUAGCUAGUUGGUGAGGUAACGGCUCACCAAGGCGACGAUGCGUAGCCGACCUGAGAGGGUGAUCGGCCACACUGGGACUGAGACACGGCCCAGACUCCUACGGGAGG